rnacentral:rRNA from 1 species
CCCUUAGACGUUCUGGGCCGCACGCGCGCUACACUGACGAAGGCAACGAGCUUUCCUUUACCGAAAGGUACGGGUAAUCUUUUGAGACUUCGUCGUGCUGGGGAUAGAUCCUUGCAAUUUUUGAUCUUAAACGAGGAAUGCCUAGUAAGCGCAAGUCAUCAACUUGCGUUGAUUACGUCCCUGCCCUUUGUACACACCGCCCGUCGCUACUACCGAUUGAAUGGUUUAGUGAGGCCUUCGGAUCCGCGACUCGUUUGUGGAGAAGUUGGACAAACUCAGUCAUUUAGAGGAAGUAAAAGUCGUAACA